AGCGAACGCUGGCGGCAGGCCUAACACAUGCAAGUCGAACGGACCCUUCGGGGUUAGUGGCGGACGGGUGAGUAACACGUGGGAACGUGCCUUUAGGUUCGGAAUAGCUCCUGGAAACGGGUGGCAAUGCCGAAUGUGCCCUUCGGGGGAAAGAUUUAUCGCCUUUAGAGCGGCCCGCGUCUGAUUAGCUAGUUGGUGAGGUAAUGGCUCACCAAGGCGACGAUCAGUAGCUGGUCUGAGAGGAUGACCAGCCACACUGGGACUGAGACACGGCCCAGACUCCUACGGGAGGCAGCGGUGGGGAAUCUUGCGCAAUGGGCGAAAGCCUGACGCAGCCAUGCCGCGUGAAUGAUGAAGGUCUUAGGAUUGUAAAAUUCUUUCACCGGGGACGAUAAUGACGGUACCCGGAGAAGAAGCCCCGGCUAACUUCGUGCCAGCCGCCGCGGUAA
rnacentral:rRNA from 1 species